rnacentral:rRNA from 1 species
AUACGGAGGAUCCGAGCGUUAUCCGGAUUUAUUGGGUUUAAAGGGUGCGCAGGCGGCCAUUUAAGUCAGCGGUUAAAUCGUGGGGCUCAACCCCAUUCUGCCGUUGAUACUGGGUGGCUUGAUUGCGGUCGAGGUUGGCGGAAUUCGUUGUGUAGCGGUGAAAUGCAUAGAUAUGACUAAGAACACCGAUUGCGUAGGCAGCUGACCAGACCGCAAAUGACGCUCAUGCACGAAAGUGCGGGGAUCAAACAGGAUUAGAUACCCUGUUAGUCCGCACAGUAAACGAUGAAUACUUGUUUUCGGCGAUAUAAUGUCGGAGGCAAAGCGAAAGCGAUAAGUAUUCCACCUGGGGAGUACGCCGGCAACGGUGAAACUCAAAGGAAUUGACGGGG